CAAAACAGGUUUCCCUGAGUUGGAUCGUUACAGUACCCCAAUACCCACUAAAAACUUGCUCCGUAUCAGCCACAGACACCUCCGGCAACCUCAAGGGGCUUUGAUGGAGAGCAUACUGUGUAGCCACGAUGUUGCUUACCCAUCGACCGACUCGGACGACCUAAAGGCGUUCAGUCGCCCGAGAACGUCGCGGAUAAACCCCAGCGCACCUCCGCUCAUGACGCAGGCUCGUUUUGGCCGACGGUGAUUUCAUUUAGCCACAGAAGGAAAUGGAUGGGAUAAGCUGAGUCGCUUGGUCAUCAGAGGCCGCAACGCACAUUUGGGCGAGCUAAGCCUCUCAAUGAGCGAAUUUCAGCCCGGGAGAGGUCGCGAAAACGCAGGAAAACUCGCGAAAUUGCGAGAGAAGGAGAACCUGAGCCGCCUGGACACCAGCGACCGCAUCACGCAUUUGGGUGAGCUAAGCCUCUCGAUGAGCGGAGUUCAGGUCUGGAUUUGGUUACGCGCACAGGGGAAUGCACGCAUGAGAGC